CAGAAAUACUGCAAGCAAACUGAAAACAACCCAUCCAUGUAGGAAAGAAUAACACGGACUACACGUUAUUCAAGGACACGGAAAAGCCAACACCAUGGUAGCAUUAAUGAAAGUUUACCAAGAGGAAGAUGAAGCCUACCAGGAAUUAGUUACCGUGGCAACCACGUUCUUCCAGUACUUAUUGCGGCCAUUUAGGGCUAUGCGAGAAGUUGCAACUUUAUAAGUCCUUGGAUGAGGAUGACCUAGGUCCUAGAAGGGUAGUUGCCCUGGAG
rnacentral:lncRNA from 1 species